GACAGAGGGUGCUAGCGUUGUUCGGAAUUACUGGGCGUAAAGGGCGCGUAGGCGGUCUGUUAAGUUCGGUGUGAAAUCCCCCUGGCUCAACUGGGGGAACUGCGCUGAAAACUGGCGGACUCGAGUACCGGAGAGGAGAGUGGAAUUCCUGGUGUAGCGGUGAAAUGCGUAGAUAUCAGGAGGAACACCGGUGGCGAAGGCGGCUCUCUGGACGGAUACUGACGCUGAGGCGCGAAAGCGUGGGGAUCAAACAGG
rnacentral:rRNA from 1 species